rnacentral:lncRNA from 1 species
CUUGUUUUAAUGCAGGUGUGGCUGGACCUGCAGAAAAGCUGUAAGCAGACUGCAGUGUUGCUGAUCAGGGCUGAUCUCCACGUCCGAGUUGGUCCCACAACAUCCAGGCACCACGGUGCUUUCACAAGAGGCAUACAAGCACUUUGUGUCAAAAACGCUGAGCACUGUGGAUACAGAGGCAAGGAGGCUGAAGGAGCUGAACAAGCACCUGGCCACCAUGCUUCGGGAUGCAAAAUAAAGAUGGUUUGUGUUAAUUGUGUGCCCUAAAAA